rnacentral:rRNA from 1 species
AAGUCGGAAUCGCUAGUAAUCGCGGAUCAGCAUGCUGCGGUGAAUACGUUCCCGGGCCUUGUACACACCGCCCGUCACACCAUGAGAGUCGAUAACACCCGAAGCCUGUAGUCUAACCAUAAGGGGGACGCAGUCGAAGGUGGGAUUGAUAAUUAGGGUGAAGUCGUAACAAGGUACC